rnacentral:rRNA from 1 species
CAGCCGCCGCGGUAAUACGUAGGGGGCGAGCGUUGUCCGGAUUUACUGGGCGUAAAGGGUGAGUAGGCGGUUAUAUAUGUCAGGUGUAAAAGAUCAUGGCUCAACCAUGGUUGGCACUUGAAACUGUAUGACUUGAGUGCAGGAGAGGUAAGCGGAAUUCCUAGUGUAGCGGUGAAAUGCGUAGAUAUUAGGAGGAACACCAGUGGCGAAGGCGGCUUACUGGACUGUAACUGACGCUGAGACACGAAAGCGUGGGUAGCAAACAGGAUUAGAUACCCUGGUAGUCCACGCUGUAAACGAUGAGUGCUAGGUGUUGGGUAGCGAUAUUCAGUGCCGGAGUAAACACAAUAAGCACUCCGCCUGGGGAGUACGUACGCAAGUAUGAAACUCAAAGGAAUUGACGGGGACCCGCACAAGCAGCGGAGCAUGUGGUUUAAUUCGAAGCAACGCGAAGAACCUUACCAAGGCUUGACAUCCCCUUGACCAGUGCAGAGAUGUACUCUCUUCUUCGGAAGCAAGGGAGACAGGUGGUGCAUGGCC